GUGCUCACGUCUGUAGCACACAUACUAAAAUUGGAAUGAUAAAAAGAGAUUAACAUGGCUCCUACACAAGGAUGACACGCAAAUUAGUGAAGCAUUCCAAUUUUUU